GGUAAAAUGGCUGAUAAAGGCAUUAGACUGUAAAUCUAAGAAUAGGGGUUUAAGUCCCCUUUUUGCCAAAAAAA
rnacentral:tRNA from 1 species